GACGAACGCUGGCGGCGUGCUUAACACAUGCAAGUCGAACGGAAAGGCCCUGCUUUUGUGGGGUGCUCGAGUGGCGAACGGGUGAGUAACACGUGAGUAACCUGCCCUUGACUUUGGGAUAACUUCAGGAAACUGGGGCUACUACCGGAUAGGAGCUCCUGCUGCAUGGUGGGGGUUGGAAAGUUUCGGCGGUUGGGGAUGGACUCGCGGCUUAUUAGCUUGUUGGUGGGGUAGUGGCUUACCAAGGCUUUGAUGGGUAGCCGGCCUGAGAGGGUGACCGGCCACAUUGGGACUGAGAUACGGCCCAGACUCCUACGGGAGGCAGCAGUGGGGAAUAUUGCACAAUGGGCGGAAGCCUGAGGCAGCAACGCCGCGUGCGGGAUGACGGCCUUCGGGUUGUAAACCGCUUUCGCCUGUGACGAAGCGUGAGUGACGGUAAUGGGUAAAGAAGCACCGGCUAACUACGUG
rnacentral:rRNA from 1 species